GGGUUGUGAGGUUAAGCGACUAAGCGUACACGGUGGAUGCCCUGGCAGUCAGAGGCGAUGAAGGACGUGCUAAUCUGCGAUAAGCGUCGGUAAGGUGAUAUGAACCGUUAUAACCGGCGAUUUCCGAAUGGGGAAACCCAGUGUGAUUCGUCACACUAUCAUUAACUGAAUCCAUAGGUUAAUGAGGCGAACCGGGGGAACUGAAACAUCUAAGUACCCCGAGGAAAAGAAAUCAACCGAGAUUCCCCCAGUAGCGGCGAGCGAACGGGGAGCAGCCCAGAGCCUGAAUCAGUGUGUGUGUUAGUGGAAGCGUCUGGAAAGGCGCGCGAUACAGGGUGACAGCCCCGUACACAAAAAUGCACAUACUGUGAGCUCGAUGAGUAGGGCGGGACACGUGGUAUCCUGUCUGAAUAUGGGGGGACCAUCCUCCAAGGCUAAAUACUCCUGACUGACCGAUAGUGAACCAGUACCGUGAGGGAAAGGCGAAAAGAACCCCGGCGAGGGGAGUGAAAAAGAACCUGAAACCGUGUACGUACAAGCAGUGGGAGCCUCUUUAUGGGGUGACUGCGUACCUUUUGUAUAAUGGGUCAGCGACUUAUAUUCUGUAGCAAGGUUAACCGAAUAGGGGAGCCGAAGGGAAACCGAGUCUUAACUGGGCGUUAAGUUGCAGGGUAUAGACCCGAAACCCGGUGAUCUAGCCAUGGGCAGGUUGAAGGUUGGGUAACACUAACUGGAGGACCGAACCGACUAAUGUUGAAAAAUUAGCGGAUGACUUGUGGCUGGGGGUGAAAGGCCAAUCAAACCGGGAGAUAGCUGGUUCUCCCCGAAAGCUAUUUAGGUAGCGCCUCGUGAAUUCAUCUCCGGGGGUAGAGCACUGUUUCGGCAAGGGGGUCAUCCCGACUUACCAACCCGAUGCAAACUGCGAAUACCGGAGAAUGUUAUCACGGGAGACACACGGCGGGUGCUAACGUCCGUCGUGAAGAGGGAAACAACCCAGACCGCCAGCUAAGGUCCCAAAGUCAUGGUUAAGUGGGAAACGAUGUGGGAAGGCCCAGACAGCCAGGAUGUUGGCUUAGAAGCAGCCAUCAUUUAAAGAAAGCGUAAUAGCUCACUGGUCGAGUCGGCCUGCGCGGAAGAUGUAACGGGGCUAAACCAUGCACCGAAGCUGCGGCAGCGACACUAUGUGUUGUUGGGUAGGGGAGCGUUCUGUAAGCCUGUGAAGGUGUGCUGUGAGGUAUGCUGGAGGUAUCAGAAGUGCGAAUGCUGACAUAAGUAACGAUAAAGCGGGUGAAAAGCCCGCUCGCCGGAAGACCAAGGGUUCCUGUCCAACGUUAAUCGGGGCAGGGUGAGUCGACCCCUAAGGCGAGGCCGAAAGGCGUAGUCGAUGGGAAACAGGUUAAUAUUCCUGUACUUGGUGUUACUGCGAAGGGGGGACGGAGAAGGCUAUGUUGGCCGGGCGACGGUUGUCCCGGUUUAAGCGUGUAGGCUGGUUUUCCAGGCAAAUCCGGAAAAUCAAGGCUGAGGCGUGAUGACGAGGCACUACGGUGCUGAAGCAACAAAUGCCCUGCUUCCAGGAAAAGCCUCUAAGCAUCAGGUAACAUCAAAUCGUACCCCAAACCGACACAGGUGGUCAGGUAGAGAAUACCAAGGCGCUUGAGAGAACUCGGGUGAAGGAACUAGGCAAAAUGGUGCCGUAACUUCGGGAGAAGGCACGCUGAUAUGUAGGUGAAGUCCCUUGCGGAUGGAGCUGAAAUCAGUCGAAGAUACCAGCUGGCUGCAACUGUUUAUUAAAAACACAGCACUGUGCAAACACGAAAGUGGACGUAUACGGUGUGACGCCUGCCCGGUGCCGGAAGGUUAAUUGAUGGGGUUAGCGGUAACGCGAAGCUCUUGAUCGAAGCCCCGGUAAACGGCGGCCGUAACUAUAACGGUCCUAAGGUAGCGAAAUUCCUUGUCGGGUAAGUUCCGACCUGCACGAAUGGCGUAAUGAUGGCCAGGCUGUCUCCACCCGAGACUCAGUGAAAUUGAACUCGCUGUGAAGAUGCAGUGUACCCGCGGCAAGACGGAAAGACCCCGUGAACCUUUACUAUAGCUUGACACUGAACAUUGAGCCUUGAUGUGUAGGAUAGGUGGGAGGCUUUGAAGUGUGGACGCCAGUCUGCAUGGAGCCGACCUUGAAAUACCACCCUUUAAUGUUUGAUGUUCUAACGUUGGCCCCUAAUCGGGGUUGCGGACAGUGUCUGGUGGGUAGUUUGACUGGGGCGGUCUCCUCCUAAAGAGUAACGGAGGAGCACGAAGGUUGGCUAAUCCUGGUCGGACAUCAGGAGGUUAGUGCAAUGGCAUAAGCCAGCUUGACUGCGAGCGUGACGGCGCGAGCAGGUGCGAAAGCAGGUCAUAGUGAUCCGGUGGUUCUGAAUGGAAGGGCCAUCGCUCAACGGAUAAAAGGUACUCCGGGGAUAACAGGCUGAUACCGCCCAAGAGUUCAUAUCGACGGCGGUGUUUGGCACCUCGAUGUCGGCUCAUCACAUCCUGGGGCUGAAGUAGGUCCCAAGGGUAUGGCUGUUCGCCAUUUAAAGUGGUACGCGAGCUGGGUUUAGAACGUCGUGAGACAGUUCGGUCCCUAUCUGCCGUGGGCGCUGGAGAACUGAGGGGGGCUGCUCCUAGUACGAGAGGACCGGAGUGGACGCAUCACUGGUGUUCGGGUUGUCAUGCCAAUGGCACUGCCCGGUAGCUAAAUGCGGAAGAGAUAAGUGCUGAAAGCAUCUAAGCACGAAACUUGCCCCGAGAUGAGUUCUCCCUGACCCUUUAAGGGUCCUGAAGGAACGUUGAAGACGACGACGUUGAUAGGCCGGGUGUGUAAGCGCAGCGAUGCGUUGAGCUAACCGGUACUAAUGAACCGUGAGGCUUAACCUUACAACGCCGAAG
rnacentral:rRNA from 1 species